rnacentral:rRNA from 1 species
CGAACGCUGGCGGUAUGCUUAACACAUGCAAGUCGAACGAACAAAAUUGGGGCUUGCUCCAAUUUUAGUGAGUGGCAAACGGGUGAGUAACACGUGGGAAUCUACCUAUCAGUACGGAAUAACAUUUGGAAACAGAUGCCAAUACCGUAUAUUCUCCAAGGAGGAAAGAUUUAUCGCUGAUAGAUGAGCCCGCGUAAGAUUAGGUAGUUGGUAGGGUAAUGGCCUACCAAGCCGACGAUCUUUAGCUGGUCUGAGAGGAUGAUCAGCCACACUGGGACUGAGACACGGCCCAGACUCCUACGGGAGGCAGCAGUGGGGAAUAUUGGACAAUGGGCGAAAGCCUGAUCCAGCAAUACCGCGUGAAUGAUGAAGGCCUUAGGGUUGUAAAGUUCUUUUAGUUGGAAAGAUAAUGACGGUACCAACAGAAAAAGACCCCGGCUAACUCCGCGCCAGCAG